CUGGGCUUUCUUUGUAAUGAGCUCCAUUGAAUCAAUGCUGCAAAGCUCUCUAUCUUAUAGUGCAAUACGGAACGCGGCGUUGUACACAUAUGGUUUAGUUUUUUCCCUCUAAUUCUUGCGAGCUAGGCAGUUUUGAGUUGGGAAAGGCGUAUUUAUAAGAAUUUGACUCCUUCCACAUUCUAAGGCUUGCAGUGGUGUAGGGUGUUUGGGGAGAUCUGUCUGGGCAGAGGGAUUAAACGAAAUGUCGGGCAAAAGCACUGUUAAGAGAACUCUGAGGAAGCGCUUCCAUCCUUAAGACGGAGUUAAAAAUGCUUUGGAAAACCGCGGUUGCUCUCGCGGAAAGCAGGCGAAGCGCCGAGAGAUCGAUUGCCAUAGCAAGCAGAUCGAAAAUUAGAGCUAAGAUCCCGUGUGACACAAGCAAACAAAUAAACAAACAAACAAACAAAACCAGUAAAAAAUAGAUGAAUAGCAAUGAAAGGAAAAUAAAGAGAGAGAGAAGGGACGCGUAAAGCUGCUGGUAACAGAGGGUGAGUGCGAUGCCGGGGGGGAGCUCCGGGGCGCGCAGCAGGCGGGGGCUGCUUAACAGGGGGCGGGCAGGGGGCAGGCAGCGCCGCGGGGCGGGGGGCAAGGUGCCAGGCAGCCCCCCCGCCGCCGCCGCCCUCAGGUGCCAGCGCCCGCGGGCUGCUCCCCGCCCGGGAAGCAGGGUCUGGGGGCAGCCGACCCCAGGCGGUGCCGCCGGGACCCCGCUAGGCUCCCCCCACGCUGCUCUCGCAGGAGCCUGGAGCCCGCAGCGGGGGCUCGCCCGCCUCUCGGCCCCGCGUGUGUGUGUGCGUGGGAGCGUCCUCCGUGUGUGCGUGUGUGCCGGGGGCUGCUCUGUCCGUGCGCGGUUGCUGCUUGAAGGCAUCCCGGCAGCACUGUCCCCGGUGUCCCCACGAGCCGCUGGCCAGGCAGAGGGCUCCGCGGGGAGGCUCCGAAAUGCAGUCAGGUCUGCAAUCAGCGCCCGCGAAGAAGCGACGCCUGGAGCUGGAGGAACUCCGGGGCCACUUUGA
rnacentral:lncRNA from 1 species